rnacentral:lncRNA from 1 species
GUGGGGGGAAAGAAAUUUUUGAAAAAAAAAAUUUUUUUUUUUCAAAUUUCCUUUCACUGUUUUUUGCUUCAGGCAGACCACCUCUCCAGCUAUGCACUGCGGUUAGAGGGAAGGGGCACCUCCCACGCCCCAGGCUUCCACUAAAAUGUUCCUGCCCUGCCACUGCCUUUGAGGGACCAAAUGGACUCCUGGGACCCCGGUCCAGACCUGACAUUGGGGUGACGACCCCCAUCGAGGUGGAAGGCAAAGUUCACCGGGACAGUGAGGACACCGGCCCCAGUAACCGCCAACCUUCCCACAAACUGACGCUGUCCAUCUCCUCGUACACAACAUGAAAAUGUCCCCUUGGAUGACCCUUUCUGCACCUUCCUACAGGUGUUUGCUCAAGUGGCAAAACCAGAUCAACGCUCUUGUCUUGUUUAUUAAAUGUCAUUUUGUAAAGCUAUGCUUGUCCGAUCUCCUUCCAAAAGGUUCGAGGCACUUUUGAGAAGCCCUAUUAAUUACUACAGCUAUAGCUGUAGUAGGAUAUUCAAAAUUUCAUAUUAAAUCAUUUGGUAUACUAUCAUGGCAUAUUAC